rnacentral:rRNA from 1 species
GAUCAUGGCUCAGGAUGAACGCUGGCAGCGUGCUUAACACAUGCAAGUCGAGCGAAGCACUUAGGAAAGAUUCUUCGGAUGAUUUCCUAUUUGACUGAGCGGCGGACGGGUGAGUAACGCGUGGGUAACCUGCCUCAUACAGGGGGAUAACAGUUAGAAAUGACUGCUAAUACCGCAUAAGACCACAGCACCGCAUGGUGCAGGGGUAAAAAACUCCGGUGGUAUGAGAUUGGACCCG